UCUGUCCCGGUUUAAGCGUGUAGGCUGGUUUUCCAGGCAAAUCCGGAAAAUCAAGGCUGAGGCGUGAUGACGAGGCACUACGGUGCUGAAGCAACAAAUGCCCUGCUUCCAGGAAAAGCCUCUAAGCAUCAGGUAACAUCAAAUCGUACCCCAAACCGACACAGGUGGUCAGGUAGAGAAUACCAAGGCGCUUGAGAGAACUCGGGUGAAGGAACUAGGCAAAAUGGUGCCGUAACUUCGGGAGAAGGCACGCUGAUAUGUAGGUGAAGCGACUUGCUCGUGGAGCUGAAAUCAGUCGAAGAUACCAGCUGGCUGCAACUGUUUAUUAAAAACACAGCACUGUGCAAACACGAAAGUGGACGUAUACGGUGUGACGCCUCCCCGGUGCCGGAAGGUUAAUUGAUGGGGUCAGCGCAAGCGAAGCUCUUGAUCGAAGCCCCGGUAAACGGCGGCCGUAACGAUAACGGUCCUAAGGUAGCGAAAUUCCUUGUCGGGUAAGUUCCGACCUGCACGAAUGGCGUAAUGAUGGCCAGGCUGUCUCCACCCGAGACUCAGUGAAAUUGAACUCGCUGUGAAGAUGCAGUGUACCCGCGGCAAGACGGAAAGACCCCGUGAACCUUUACUAUAGCUUGACACUGAACAUUGAGCCUUGAUGUGUAGGAUAGGUGGGAGGCUUUGAAGUGUGGACGCCAGUCUGCAUGGAGCCGACCUUGAAAUACCACCCUUUAAUGUUUGAUGUUCUAACGUGGACCCGUGAUCCGGGUUGCGGACAGUGUCUGGUGGGUAGUUUGACUGGGGCGGUCUCCUCCUAAAGAGUAACGGAGGAGCACGAAGGUUGGCUAAUCCUGGUCGGACAUCAGGCGGUUAGUGCAAUGGCAUAAGCCAGCUUGACUGCGAGCGUGACGGCGCGAGCAGGUGCGAAAGCAGGUCAUAGUGAUCCGGUGGUUCUGAAUGGAAGGGCCAUCGCUCAACGGAUAAAAGGUACUCCGGGGAUAACAGGCUGAUACCGCCCAAGAGUUCAUAUCGACGGCGGUGUUUGGCACCUCGAUGUCGGCUCAUCACAUCCUGGAGCUGAAGUAGGUCCCAAGGGUAUGGCUGUUCGCCAUUUAAAGUGGUACGCGAGCUGGGUUUAGAACGUCGUGAGACAGUUCGGUCCCUAUCUGCCGUGGGCGCUGGAGAACUGAGGGGGGCUGCUCCUAGUACGAGAGGACCGGAGUGGACGCAUCACUGGUGUUCGGGUUGUCAUGCCAAUGGCACUGCCCGGUAGCUAAAUGCGGAAGAGAUAAGUGCUGAAAGCAUCUAAGCACGAAACUUGCCCCGAGAUGAGUUCUCCCUGACUCCUUGAGAGUCCUGAAGGAACGUUGAAGACGGCGACGUUGAUAGGCCGGGUGUGUAAGCGCAGCGAUGCGUUGAGCUAACCGGUACUAAUGAACCGUGAGGC
rnacentral:rRNA from 1 species